GUCAAGGCUUGUCAUGUCAUCCUCUGCAGACCUCCGCCAAGCAGCUCAUUUUAAGAUAGAUGCGCGAGUAAAAUUACUAAUAGAGAAACGAAAAUAAACUUUGGAAAUAGCAACACCACCAUAGGUUAAGUGGAAAUGAUGAAUGUGUUUUCAAGAGAGAUAAUCAAAGAACAUAACAUUGUAAUACUUCAUGUAAAGUAAAUAUAACAAAUGAAAAGUCUGUAUUGAUGCUACUGUGUAGGGUUCAGCGCGCAUGCGCAGAAUGGGACUACUUCCGGGUGGCCACCGGAAGUCUUCCCCAUGCGCAUGUGCGGGAAAACGUUCCCUCAGGCCCGCCAAACUCAAAUCAUUCUCUCUGGCAAGUCAGCCAACGCGAUCGGACGUACAUUUCGCAGGCUCUGAUAAACUCACCGACUUAGCCGCCAACGACCAUCGAACCUCUUCAACAAAACGAACAAGAAGCUGUACAUCAGAGGCUGUCCUUCUCCCAUCAGACACACGUACGCCAUCGUAAUAAAUAAACGAACUGCUGUCUUUUACCUACAACCUAACUUCGUCUGUAUUGUCUUACAAAAAUUGUAUGUGACUGGAUCGGAUCGACACCCUUUCAGUGAAUCGAUAACCCAUCCUGUUACAAUUGGUGACCCCAAGUUGAAAAAAAAAAAGAACAGAAGACGCAGCGAACAGGUUUUUGCCAGAUAGAGCACUGAACAUUCAUUUUUUCAUUUUUUCUCUUCUUUCAGAACGGCGAGGUGGGUACAAACAGAAGCUUAUUCAUCGCACGCACUCAGUACACUGAAAAAAAAAAAAAAGAAAACACACACACAUCAUUAUUUUUUCUUUCCUUUUCUGUACUUUGUUUCCCUUUGUGCACACACACACUUGUUUUACUACCCACGAGGUACACACACCAGUACACAAAAACACAAUUUUGAUUUGCUUUGUUGGUUCCACGUGUUCUCUCUCCAUUUCUCAAUCAUACCUUCUGCCCCUUCCUGACAGACGAUCCUUCCGACAAAAACAUGGCUGCAUCAAGUUUGCCUCAUUCACAAACAUUUGAAUUUUCGCUACCAUCUCCAUCGCGGGGCCUGUACGCAUGUACAGAGCCCCCUCCGACACCUCCGACGAAUGAUCAACUAGCCGAGAAGAUCGAUGCACUUACGCAGAGAAUCGAUGAUCUGUGCCGUGCGAUCGGGUGCCAACCUCGCAGUCGUAGUCGCAGUAGCUCUAUUUCCCGUAGUCGGAGUAAUUCUGUUUCUCGUUCCGGCUGGUGCUGGUACCAUUCAAAGUAUGCCGAAAAGGCAGAUCAGUGUACCCAGCCAUGCACUUUCAAGCCCUCGGAAAACUAAAUCCGGAGGAGGUGAGCACGUCACCUUCUUCCAUCUCGUUUCCCAAACAUCGUGCAUCUUUGUAAAAGAUCUGGUGUUGAAGAAAUUCUUCAUGGUGGACACCGGCUCGUGUUGCAGCAUCUGGCCUCUUCGUCUGGCUGCAGACAAGCCCAAGCGCUCUUCAAUUGUCUUGCAUGCUAUUGACUCAUCUCCCAUAACCACUUACGGUCAGAUUUCGCUGCACCUCGACAUCAACCUUCGUCGAGAUUUUCAAUGGGUUUUCGUCAUCGCUGACAUCCCGCAUCCUAUUCUCGGCGCUGAUUUCCUGGAUAGGUUUAAUCUAUUGGUGGAUGUCGGAGGCUUCUUGAUAGCACGACGUCGCUCUCUACACCGACUUGGAGUUCCACCACUGCGGUCCUUAGCCCGACAUUCUUUGUUGCCACCUCUGGAGACCCUUUUCACUCUCUUUUGGUUUCAUUUCCAUAGCUAGUGGACAUUGCCUUUAAACCGGAAAAGCCUACCCACUCGACCCUCCAUUUUAUCACCACCGCUGGGCCGCCUGUAUUUUCGCGCCCACGGCGCCUUGCGCCAGACCGACUAAAAGCGGCCAGGGCCGAGUUUGAGCACAUGCUUCAACUUGGCCUUAUACGCCCCUCCACCAGCCCAUGGGCAUCUCCCCUUCAUUUGGCGCGAAAGGGCGAGUCUGAUUUUCGCCCGGUUGGAGACUAUCGACGCCUCAAUGCCGUAACAAUAGCCGACCGAUAUCUGAUCCGAAAUCUCCAGGACUUUACGGCAAAUCUCCAUGAUUGUACCAUUUUUUCGAAGGUCGACCUUAUACGCGCUUACCAUCAAAUACCGGUCAACCCAGCUGACGUUCCGAAAACUGCGAUCACUACCCCCUUUGGGUGUUUUGAGUUUUUGUAUAUGAGUUUCGGUUUGCGGAAUGCUACUAGCACUUUCCAGCGUUUCAUUGAUGAGGUUGUCCGCGGUCUUGAUUUUGUGUUUGCCUAUGUCGAUGAAAUACUCAUUGCGAGCGACACAUGUGAAAAUCAUCUCCAGCACCUUUCUCAGCUUUUUCAGUGUCUUCGCGCUUAUAGUAUACAUAUAAAUCCCGACAAGUGUGUUUUCGGACGCUCUUCCCUAGAUUUUCUAGGCCAUCAUAUUGAUUCGAGUGGAAUCAGCCCUCUAACGUCAAAAGUCGAUGCCAUUCAACGCAUCGCACCCCCCACUUCCUUGCGCCAGCUCAGGCAUUAUCUAGGGAUGAUCAAUUUCUACAGACGUUUUAUUCCUGGUUGUGCAGAUAAGCUACUACCUCUCACCAGGCUAUUAAAGGACUCUCCUAGAAAGGACAGUCAAGUCACCCUCUCUGUUGAGGCAGUGACAGCCUUUGAUUCCAUUAAGAAGGAGCUGGCUUCUGUUUCUUUACUUGCACAUCCAGUUCCUGGUGCUUCUCUCUCUUUGACUGUAGACGCAUCGGACACUGCGAUUGGCGCUGUGUUACAACAACACACAGUGGAUGAUCAUAUGCGACCUCUAGCUUUCUUUUCCCAUCAACUGCAACCAGCUGAACGACGAUACAGCACCUUUGAUCGUGAGCUCCUAGCGAUCUAUCUAUCGGUUCGUCAUUUCCAGCAUCAACUUGAAGGGCGAGAUUUUGUGAUCUAUACGGAUCACAAGCCUCUUAUGUUUGCCCUGUGUUCAAAAACGGACAAACUCUCACCCCGUGCUUUUCGGCACCUGGAUUUUAUCUCUCAAUUCACUAGCAACAUUCGACACAUACCUGGAAAAGAGAACGUUCCUGCUGAUGCUCUCUCUCGCCUUCCAGUUUGCGCCCUUUCGUCUCCUGCUGCUAUCGACUUAGCUGCCAUCUCGCAGGAGCAGCCACCUUUGGCGUCAUUAGACUUAACUUCUCCCAAGUUCUCCUGUUGCCAGUUUUCCUACCUUCCGCUUCCGUCAGCCGAAGGCACCAUUCUUUGUGAUACUUCCACUGGUUCUCCCAGGCCACUGGUGCCUGAGAACCAUCAACACUCAGUGUUUGAAGCACUGCACUCCUUAUCACAUCCUGGCAUCGCUGCCAUCCUUAAACUAAUCACUGCUCGGUUUUUCUGGCCGAAUAUGCGUCGCACUAUUACUUCUUGGACACGCACCUGCUCCAAUUGUCAACGGUCCAAGAUUCAACGGCAUGCUCGUGCCCCGCUUGGACAAUUUCCCCCACGGAGGCCCGUUUUCGCCAUGUCCACAUCGAUCUGGUUGGACCAUGGCCUGUGAGUCGCGGGUUCUCUUAUCUGUUAACUUGUGUCGAUCGCUUCUCCCGCUGGCCAGAAGCCAUUCCGAUAGCAGACAUUUCUGCUGAGACUGUUGCGUGAGCUAUUGUUUCAAACUGGAUUUCUCGCUUCGGAGUCCCGUCCCGAUUGACAACUGAUCGUGGACGUCAGUUUGAAGCCUCACUAUUUCGCGAAUUGUCGCGAAUUUUGGGUAUGCACCAUAUCCACACUACAAGCUACCAUCCAGUGUCUAAUGGAUUAGUUGAGCGGUUCCAUAGACAGCUCAAGGCCGCUCUUCGUGCCUCUUCAGACCCACAGUCCUGGAUUGAAUUUCUGCCCAUUGUGCUUCUCGGCUGUCGGACUGCUGUCAAGGCAGACCUGGGGUUUUCUGCUGCAGAGCUGCUGUAUGGUACCACACUGGCAUUGCCUGGCAUGAUGUUGGUGCCAGACACUUCCCAGCCCCAUGAUCCGGCGACCUAUGUCACCAGACUGCGUGCAUAUUUUUCGAACCUUCCACCCAUGGUUCCCAGAAAGCAAUCUCCACCAUCCCAUCUUCCACCGGAUAUGAACACUUGGUCGCAUGUUUUUGUUCGGGACGACUCUGUGAAGGGCCCACUUGUUUCUCCCUAUAAAGGACCUUUCCGUGUGCUUUCUCGCACACCAAAGGUUUUCACGAUUGAGAUAAAUGGUUGCUCGGAGACCGUUUCCGUGGACCGUUUAAAAAAAGCACAUUUUGAGACGCCUCCAUCUUUUGAUGACAACCUUGACACACCCACCUAUGCACCUUUAACAACACCUUCACCUGCACAACCGCCUUCACCUGCACAAACACCUUCACCUGCACAGACGCCUUUGCCUUCACCGGCUCCUACAACACCACCCUCGCCGUCAACGGGUGCCCCGAGCACACCGUAUGUUACACGAUCGGGCAGAACAGUGCAUUGGCCCAAGAAACUUUCAAAGACAAUCUACAUUUAACUUUCUUUUAAAAUUUUUCUUGUUUUGUAUGAUAUUAUGUACCAAGUCUUCUGGGGGAUCGGCAAGCCAUCUGUUUUUCUGCAGCACCACCACAAAUUUUCUUGUUGUCGUACUUUCGCACUCGAGGGGGAGCCUUUGUAGUGAUGCUACUGUGUAGGGCUCAGCGCGCAUGCGCAGAAUGGGACUACUUCCGGGUGGCCACCGGAAGUCUUCCCCAUGCGCAUGUGCGGGAAAACGUUCCCUCAGGCCCGCCAAACUCAAAUCAUUCUCUCUGGCAAGUCAGCCAACGCGAUCGGAUGUACAUUUCGCAGGCUCUGAUAAACUCACCGACUUAGCCGCCAACGACCAUCGAACCUCUUCAACAAAACGAACAAGAAGCUGUACAUCAGAGGCUGUCCUUCUCCCAUCAGACACACGUACGCCAUCG
rnacentral:lncRNA from 1 species